rnacentral:rRNA from 1 species
GACGAACGCUGGCGGCGUGCUUAACACAUGCAAGUCGAACGGAAAGGCCCUGCUUUUGCGGGGUGCUCGUGUGGCGAACGGGUGAGUAUCACGUGAGUAACCUGCCCUUGACUUUGGGAUAACUUCAGGAAACUGGGGCUAAUACCGGAUAGGAGAUCCUGCUGCAUGGUGGGGGUUGGAAAGUUUCGGCGGUUGGGGCUGGACUCGCGGGUUAUCAGCUUGUUGGUGGGGUAGUGGCUUACCAAGGCUUUGAAGGGUAGCCGGCCUGGGAGGGUGACCGGCGACAUUGGGACUGAGAUACGCACCAGACUGCUACGGGAGGCAGCAGUGGGGAAUAUUGCACAAUGGGCGGAAGCCUGAUGCAGCAACGCCGCGUGCGGGAUGACGGCCUUCGGGUUGUAAACCGCUUUCGCCUGUAACGAAGCGUGAGUGACGGUAAUGAGUAAAGAAGCACCGGCUAACUACGUG